CAGCACUUGGCACAGUGCCUGGCAUACAGAAAGUUCUAUAAAAAUGUAAGCUAUUAUUAUCAUCAUCUUCUUUCUGAAUACUCAGAGGUCUUCUUCCUUAAGCUUAUCAUACGGAACAAUCCAAGUACUGCUUUUAAAUGGUUAGUUUUUAAAAACUGCUAACUUUCUGUAUUUUACGUUGUGUGUAUACAGAGAAUAAGUUGCAGCAAAUACAACAAAGCAUAGUUCAUAUUUUAAAACUAUAUAUACUUUAUAAUGAUUCCUGAGAUUAUGCUAAAAAUUUUUGUUAGAGCUUUUGAAUCUUUCUAUUUGCUAAAACAUAACAUUCUGGCUUUUCAGAACUAUGUAACAAAAACCUGUAAUUAGAAAUGAGAAACUGAAAAUUGAUUCGGAUCUGUUUUUUAAAAAAGCAAAUGUUCUUGUUGCAUUUCAUUAUUAAAAAACUGAAUUUUUAAUACAUGAAUCAGAUACUAACAUUAUAAGGAACUGGAGGAAACAUCUGGUUCAAAAAUGAAAAGACAAGUUUCCUGAAACUUUUCAGAAACAUGAAUUAAAGACCUCUAUAGUGAAUACUAAAAUAGAUAACUACUUUGAUUUUAUUAUUUAAAAAUUUUUCACUUAUGACAAAAUAUUAACAUAACUUUUAGAGCUGUUUUUUAAAAAGAUUAUUCUAUUGGACUAUCUUAAAAAUGUUUUAAGAAUACAUAUAAACUAUUUUUUUGAAAUUCCCAUAUGCUAAUAAUUUCAUCCAUUAAUCCAAUUAUUAUUAUUAACACCCUAAAAGUACACAAAUACCUUUGGACAAAAGCGAAACAUGUAAGGAAGAACUAUGUACACAUUCUUGGCAAAAACACAUGCUCAGUUGAUACUAUAGGGCUAUAACUAAUGUGUGUCUCCAAUCCAAAAAUCCAUGGUUUAACCAAAACUCUAAAUUAAUUUUAAAAUUUUAUCACUCAUCCACUCAGUUUGAUAUGUCUUCCAUUGAGACUGAGUGAUUACAUGUUUGGUUCUGGGCAAGUCAUUUAAUCUAUCUGAUCCUCAGUUUGUCUGUUAAAUAAGCAACGGAAUCAUGGAACAUUUAAGUUUCCUUCCAAGUACAAAAUUCUGUGCCAAUUGCAAUGACAUCUCAAGUACCAAAAACAGCAAUAUGCCCUACCUUAUUUUCCAAAUACUAACUAGAAAAUGAGAAGAUGAAAUUUUACAAAAAUGGAAAGAGUACUACAUCACCUUCCUCCUUGAAACCCAUGACUAUCCAAAAGCUUCUCAGCAUGCUAAGGGGCUUGUGGUAACUGGCUCUCUGCCUUUCAGCUCUACUCUAAGUGUUGUCUUCCCUAAUUAGAAUAUAAGCUCCUUGACUGGCUUGCUUGCUAGUAUACAAUUUCUGCUCAAAGUUUGAAAUCUUGGGGAGAGACACUUUUCCAAACUCCUGCGUUCUCUUUCUGAACUCUGUAGUCCAGCCAAAUUGGCCUUCUCUGUUCAUCACUUGUAGUACUUCAUUUCUCUUAUCUCCAUGUCUUUGUACUGGCUGACUUCUGAAAGUAAAGCACUUUCUCCUCUUCACUUUAGCCUCCUUCAAGACUCAAUUCAAGCACCAACUUGUACAUGAAACCUUUACUGAAUUUCCACAACUACAAGUGCCCUCUCCCUUUCUAACUAUCUUGUGUUUACUCUGUAUAUACUUGUUAUCAUCCCUGAUAGCACGUAAGCUUGGGAGAAGAGAUUGUUUCCUUUUUAUCUCCAACAACUAGCAUGGUAACUGGCACACAGGAGGAACUGAAUAAAAUUUGUUGAUUCAUUGAAUAAAAAAUCCCUGAGUAAAUAAGCAACAACAAUAAAAAUCCAGUUAAGGAUAAAUAUGGAAGGAUAAUUGAUUUUAAAUUUUUCUACCAUAGAAAAGCCAUCAGCUUUUUCCUUUCACAGUGAUCCCAUUUUCUUUCCUCAAAGCCUCUACUCUACAUUCUGUAUCUCUCUAAUCUGUUUGAUAAUAAGGGAAUGAUAAUAAGGGAACUAUAAAUCAAGAGAAAAGAAAUCUCUCGAAAAUAGCCAAACCUGAUUCUAUAGAGCUCCUGCCCCAACUUUGGAGAUAUUUCAGUCAGUCCCUAUAACAUGAAGGCUAAAUGGGAAGAAUGCAAUUAAAACAGGAUUUCAAUUCAGAAAGAAAAAAAACAAAAACAAAAUUCCUAUCAAAAGAUACAAGGUUGUUAAGAAAGCUAAAAUGAUAAUCAAGAGAGACAGAAUUUGUAGGAUUGGUUUUGUUUUUUACUGGUAGGUGAAAUAUCCUAAAACAUAGACAUUUUGAUAGUCUUCUAAUCCCGGUUGAACUCAAAUAUUAAAGUAACACACAUGAGCUAAGAGAAUUCAAUAUUGUUCCAAGGCACUUACUGAAUCUCCAUAACUAGAUGAAAACUAGGACAAAUUAGGAUCGACAAACAGUAUAUAAUAUAAAAAUAACCUUUUGCUUACAAUUUACAAAAUGUAUUAUUACAAUCUUUUAUCUCUGCUAACCUGUAAUGCUGGCAGCAUGUGUCCAGCAAUUUUAAAAUCAGAAACUAUUUUCUAAAA